AAACCAACAGGGAUUGUCUUAGUAACGGCGAGUGAAGCGACAAAAGCUCAAAUUUGAAAUCUGGCACCUUCGGUGUCCGAGUUGUAAUUUGAAGAAGGUAACUUUGGAGUUGGCUCUUGUCUAUGUUCCUUGGAACAGGACGUCACAGAGGGUGAGAAUCCCGUGCGAUGAGAUGUCCAACUCUAUGUAAAGUGCUUUCGAAGAGUCGAGUUGUUUGGGAAUGCAGCUCUAAGUGGGUGGUAAAUUCCAUCUAAAGCUAAAUAUUGGCGAGAGACCGAUAGCGAACAAGUACAGUGAUGGAAAGAUGAAAAGAACUUUGAAAAGAGAGUGAAAAAGUACGUGAAAUUGUUGAAAGGGAAGGGUUUGAGAUCAGACUUGGUAUUUUGUAUGUCUUGCUUUCGGGUGGGGCCUCUGCAGUUUACUGGGCCAGCAUCGGUUUGGACGGUAGGAUAAUGACAUUGGAAUGUGGCACUACUUCGGUGGUGUGUUAUAGACUUUGUUGAUACUACCUGUCUAGACCGAGGACUGCGUCUUUGACUAGGAUGCUGGCAUAAUGAUCCUAAACCGC
rnacentral:rRNA from 1 species